AAUACCGCAUAUGCCAUAACCAUCACAUGAUGGUAGUGGGAAAGGAGUAAUCCGCUAACAGAUGGGCUCGCGUCUGAUUAGAUAGUUGGUGGGGUAACGGCCUACCAAGUCUACGAUCAGUAGCCGGACUGAGAGGUUGAACGGCCACAUUGGGACUGAGAUACGGCCCAGACUCCUACGGGAGGCAGCAGUCGGGAAUAUUGCGCAAUGGAGGAAACUCUGACGCAGUGACGCCGCGUAUAGGAAGAAGGUCUUCGGAUUGUAAACUAUUGUCGUUAGGGAAGAAAAAGGACAGUACCUAAGGAGGAAGCUCCGGCUAACUACGUGCCAGCAGCCGCGGUAAUACGUAGGGAGCAAGCGUUAUCCGGAUUUAUUGGGUGUAAAGGGUGCGUAGACGGGAUAAUAAGUUAGUUGUGAAAUCCCUCGGCUCAACUGAGGAACUGCAACUAAAACUGUUAUUCUUGAGUGUUGGAGAGGAAAGCGGAAUUCCUAGUGUAGCGGUGAAAUGCGUAGAUAUUAGGAGGAACACCAGUGGCGAAGGCGGCUUUCUGGACAAUAACUGACGUUGAGGCACAAAAGUGUGGGGAGCAAACAGGAUUAGAUACCCUGGUAGUCCACACCGUAAACGAUGAAUACUAGGUGUAGGUUAUGUCAUGUAAUCUGUGCCGUCGC
rnacentral:rRNA from 1 species